rnacentral:lncRNA from 1 species
CGGCUCACGAGCUCACAAACAACUUAGAAUGAGACUCGUCAAAAAGUUCGAGUUCGAUCCGUCUCGGCUCAUUUAAAUACACCCCUAGCUGAUAGUGCCAGUUGCACAAAUCUACACCACAGGGAUUUUUUAAGUUUAUGGAGUGGCAACCUAAAUUCAUGCUUAAUUAGGGAAGAUACAUUUAUUGCAAUUGAAAGCUAACAAGAAACCAUUACUGCUAUUUUAUUGUCUGGAAAAAAAGAAGAUAACAUUACCCUUGAAGUAGUUAAAAAUCAGAAAAAUAAAAAUAAGAAUACAGACUAAUGAUACAAACAUGCCUCACAAUAUGAAGUGGGAUUCUUGGGAAUAACUUAAUCCAAAUUUCCCUCUGUUUUCAUUUCAAAUCUUACUUCUGCCUCUUUGUAAAUCUUGCCCAAGAAGGAUAUGAGAACUGCCUGCACAGAUUUGCUAGGAUGAGAUUCAAUGGAGCUUGUUA